GAUGAAGAACGUAGCGAAAUGCGAUAAGUAAUGUGAAUUACAGAAUUCAGUGAAUCAUCGAAUCUUUGAACGCACAUUGCGCCCCUUGGUAUUCCGAGGGGCAUGCCUGUUCGAGCGUCAUUUCAACCCUCAAGCACAGCUUGGUCUUGGGCUUCGCCGCUAACCCGGCGGGUCUUAAAAUCAGUGGCGGUGCCGUCGGGCCCUGAGCGCAGUAAUCUCUCUCGCUAUAGGGUCCCGGCGGAUGCUGGCCAGUAACCCCCAAUUUUCUAUGGUUGACCUCGGAUCAGGUAGGGAUACCCGCUGAACUUAAGCAUAUCAAUAAGCGGAGGA
rnacentral:misc_RNA from 1 species